rnacentral:rRNA from 1 species
CCUACGGGGGGCAGCAGUGGGGAAUAUUGCGCAAUGGGCGAAAGCUUGAUGCAGCGACGCCGCGUGAGGGAUGAAGGUCUUCGGAUCGUAAACCUCUGUCAGCAGGGAAGAACGGUCACUGUGCUAAUCAGUAGUGAAUUGACGGUACCUGCAAAGGAAGCACCGGCUAACUCCGUGCCAGCAGCCGCGGUAAUACGGAGGGUGCGAGCGUUAAUCGGAAUUACUGGGCGUAAAGCGCUCGUAGGCGGUAUGUUAAGUCAAGGGUGAAAUCCCCGCGCUCAACGUGGGGACUGCGUUUGAAACUAGCAAACUGGAGUGUGUGAGAGGUUAGUGGAAUUCCAGGUGAAGGGGUGAAAUGCGUAGAUAUCUGGAAGAACACCAGUGGCGAAGGCGACUAUCUGGCACAUUACUGACGCUGAGGGGCGAAAGCGUGGGUAGCAAACAGGAUUAGAUACCCCGGUAGUA